rnacentral:rRNA from 1 species
CCUACGGGGUGCAGCAGUGAGGAAUAUUGGUCAAUGGGCGUAAGCCUGAACCAGCCAAGUCGCGUGAGGGAUGAAGGUUCUAUGGAUCGUAAACCUCUUUUAUAAGGGAAUAAAGUGCGGGACGUGUCCCGUUUUGUAUGUACCUUAUGAAUAAGGAUCGGCUAACUCCGUGCCAGCAGCCGCGGUAAUACGGAGGUUCCGAGCGUUAUCCGGAUUUAUUGGGUUUAAAGGGGAAGUAGGUGGGCUUUUAAGUCAGCGGGGAUAGUGUGUGGCGCAACCAUGGAAUUGCCGUUGAAACUGGGAGGCUUGAGUAUGUUUGAGGCAGGCGGAAUGCGUGGUGUAGCGGUGAAAUGCGUAGAUAGCACGCAGAACCCCGGUGGCGAAGGCAGCCUGCCAAGCCAUGACUGACGCUGAUGCACGAAAGCGUGGGGAUCAAACAGGAUUAGAUACCCGAGUAGUC